ACCUUGACAAACAGUUCAUCUGGUCCAGCUGCCUGAUAAUAUUAUAUACACAGAAUAAGGUGACCCUUUUCAGUGAUCUGUGAUGUAUUGUGCCAGCUACUGUAUGGAUGCUUGAAGAAUUCAAUAACAUUGGGAUAUAAAACAUAAUUUUAGUUGAUCAGUUUAAGAGACUGAAACUUGUCAGAAAAAGUGCCAGUUGUUUUAUACUUGAAAACUAAAAGACUGUAAAUUAAUCUCCUAUGUGGAAGACAGCAUGCUGAACAAGAAGGACAAAGUGGAACAUGAUAAUGGGUAAAGCAAUUAACUCUGUUGUAUCUAAAAGUAAACUGACUUGAACAGAAGAAAUAAUCAUGUCAACAGCAUCUUAAAAGUAAAUGAGUAAAAUUUGCCUUAU